CACGGGGGGAGCAAACGUUGUUCGGAAUCACUGGGCGUAAAGGGCGCGUAGGCGGCCUCGUAAGUGGUGUGUGAAAUCUCCUGGCUCAACCAGGGAAUUGCGCUCCAAACUGCGAGGCUUGAGGGCAGUAGAGGAAGCUGGAAUUCCAGGUGUAGCGGUGAAAUGCGCAGAUAUCAGGAGGAACACCGGUGGCGAAGGCGGGUCUCUGGGCAGUAACUGACGCUGAGGAGCGAAAGCGUGGGGAGCGAACAGG
rnacentral:rRNA from 1 species